CCCUCUUUUUCUUUCAGCAGCCGGUCAUUUCAUCUGCAAGGAGGGACACCAGAAAGGUUAUGAAUGGAGAAGAAAUGCAGUAUUACCUUCUCUAUGGAAGGGAGAGAUGGGUCGUACCAUCACGGAUAAAACACUGGGAAAGGAACUGACUGGGAAAGCAUCAGCUAUAACGCAGCCAAAAUACUUCUUCCCAUCCCAACACCUGGGAGAGGAAUGAAUAGAUCGCCCCGGGAAACUUCUGCCCGAUUGAUGACUAAAGGCAAAUACAUGUCGGGAUGACGGGCAAAGAGAAGAAUGAAAAUCCCCGAAGUAUCCAAAGGGUCGCUUACAGCAGGGAGGCUCGCGAGGAGGGCAGCCAGCGCGGCACAUCGAACCUUACAGCCAAGCGCUGUGCCCAGAAGCCGUGCCGCAACGCCGUGCCCCCAGCCGGCUGUCAGAGCGAGGACCCGCCCCAGCGAGCCGGCGACAAACCUGCUUCAAGCCUGUCACCCCGUAUGCUUCACAGCGAGGUGCGGCGGGGGCAG